rnacentral:misc_RNA from 1 species
AAGAGUUGCAAAACUCCCACAAACCAUCGCGAACGUUACCCAGACGUCGUUGCUUCGGCGGGCUCGCCCGCCGGGGGGACGCUACCAGACUCUUGCAGUUCUUCGGCCUCUCUGAGUAUGGUUUUUUAAAUAAGUCA